CUGCAGGGCGGGGAGGGGCUGGGAGCCCAGACAUUCGGUGUUUUAAAACAUACAUUUUCGAUUUCCGUUAUUUUUUGUAGCAGACUCUUCCUUGCCCCCAUAACAUUCCUGGAGUGAAUAUUCAGUGGGGUGGGGGUUUUAUACAGGGAGGCCAUUCUGGGGUACAAAAAUGUUUCACCAGCCUCCAGUAUGAAGGAAAGCCAGGAGACCGUUCUGACCUGCCAUGAUCCAAAAAUGUAAAGUUGCUUACACAGACAAACAGGUGAUUACAUCCAUGGUGGGGCUGUCCUGGCAUUAGAAAACCCAGAUUUUUUAAAUUCACAAAUGCCAGUGUCUGGAUCCUCAUUGGAUUCCAGUGCUCAGUUUGACAACCCAUAUACCAAAAAUUGGAAUGAUAAAAACUGGUGGGGAGAAUCCCUGUUUUCAGGUGAAUAGUCCAAAGCUCAGUGGAUAAGUUACCUGCCCCGUGGUCACACGGGGUAGAGAACCCAGGCACGAAUUUGGCCGUCCUGUUUCCUAAAAUAGAAAGCUCUUUCUACUCUUCUACAACAUUGGGGUUGUGAAGAUUUUCACUUCUUUUAAAAAGGGCUUUGGAGUUCUCAGGUGCCCACGUACCACAUUAAAGGACUUGUAGAAAAGUAACAGCGCCGGAUUUGCAGAUGCCUUUCGCAAGUUUAAGCUUAUCUACCACUCCAGAACUUAAUUCAACCCUUGUCAGACAUACCAGCAAUGUGAAUGAUUUCUCCGUGCAGCUUUGUAAAAGGAAGCUCUGAGAGAGAUCAGGCAUGGGAAAAGAUAGCUCCAGAUUCUUUUUUUUUUAAUAUGAAAUUUAUUGUCAAAUUGGUUUCCACACGACACCCAGUGCUCAUCCCAACAGGUGCCCUCCUCAAUGCCCAUCACCGCCCCCACCUCCCACCCCCCAUCAACCCUCAACUUAUUCUCAGUUUUUAAGAGUCUCUUAUGGUUUGGCUCUCUCCCUCUCUAACUUUUUUUUUUUUUUUUUCCUUUUCCUUCCCCUUCCCCAUGGUCUUCUGUUAAGUUUCUCAGGAUCCACAUAAGAGUGAAAACCUAUGGUAUCUGUCUUUCUCUGUAUGACUUAUUUCACUUAGCAUAACACUCUCCAGUUCCAUCCACGUUGCUACAAAAGGCCAGAUGUCAUUCUUUCUCAUCGCCACAUAGUAUUCCAUUGUGUAUAUAAACCACAAUUUCUUUAUCUACUCAUCAGUUGAUGGACAUUUAGGCUCUUUCCAUCAUUUGGCUAUUUUUGAAAGUGCUGCUGUAAACACUGGGGUACAAGUGCCCCUACACAUCAGCACUCCUGUAUCCCUUGGGUAAAUUCCUAGCAGUGCUAUUGCUGGGUCAUAGGGUAGAUCUAUUUUUAAUUUUUGGAGGAACCUCCACACUGUUUUCCAGAGUGGCUGCACCAAUUUGCAUUCCCACCAACAGUGCAAGAGGGUUCCCGUUUCUCCACAUCCUCUCCAGCAUCUAUAGUCUCCUGAUUUGUUCAUUUUGGCCACUCUGACUGGCUUGGGGUGAUAUCUGAGUGUGGUUUUGAUUUGUAUUUCCCUGAUGAGGAGCGAUGUUGAGCAUCUUUUCAUGUGUCAGUUGGCCAUCUGGAUGUCUUCUUUAGAGAAGGGUCUAUUCAUGUCUUCUGCCCAUUUCUUCACCGGAUUAUUUGUUUUUCAGGUGUGGAGUUUGGUGAGUUCUUUGUAGAUUUUGGAUACUAGCCCUUUGUCUGAUAUGUCGUUUGCAAAUAUCUUUACCCAUUCCGUCGGUUGCCUUUUAGUUUUGUUGAUUUGUUUCCUUUGCAGUGCAGAAGCUUUUUCUCUUCAUGAGGUCCCAAUAGUUCAUUUUUGCUUUUAAUUCCCUUGCCUUUGGAACCAGAUUUUUAUAGAUGUCUGCAACUUAGGACAUUGUUACUUCUUUUUCUUUUUCUUUUUAAGUGCAUAGACAUUGUGGAAAAUAGGGAUAAUCAGACAAAGAACUCACAAAAAAAGGAUAUGAAAUAUAAUAACAUAUACCUAAAACAGGGAGGAGAGGAGAGAAGAAUGGGUUCAAACUUAAAUGACCAUAAACUUAAUAUAGACUGCCGUAUGCAGAUGUUAUAUACAAACCUAAUGGUAACCAUAUAUCAAAACCACGAAUAAAUAUGCAAAGAAUAAAGAGAAAGAAAUCCAAAUAUAUUACUAAACAAAAUUAGCAAAACAUGAAAGGGAGAAAAACAAGAAAGGAUCAGAGAAAAUCUUCAGGAACAACCACAAAACAAGUAAUAAAAUGGCAAUAAAUACAUAUCUAUCAGUAAUUACUUUGAAUGUAAAUGGACUAAAUGCUCCAGUCAAAAGACAUAGGGUGUCAGAACAGAUGAAAAAACAAGACCAUAUAUGUUGCCUACAUCGAUAUGCAGACCUAGAGACACCUGCAGACCAAAAGCACGGGGAUGCAGAACCAUCUAUCAUGCAAAUGGAUGUCAAAAGAAAGCUGAAAUAGCAAUCUUAUACUGGACGAAAUAGACUUUAGAACAAACACCCGUAGGAGCACCUGGGUGCCUCAGUUGGUUGAACUUCAGACUUCGGCUGAGGUCAUGGUCUUGCAGUUUGUGAGUUUGAGCCCCGCAUCAGACUCUGUGCUGACAGCUCAGAGCCUGGAGCCUGCUUCGGAUUCUGUGUCUCCCUCUCUCUCUCUGCCCUGCCCCUCCUUGCAUGUGUGCAUAUGCGCUCUCUCUCUCUCUCUCUCUCUCUCUCAAAAAUAAAUAAACAUUUAAAAAAACAUUUAAACCAAACACUGUAAGGGGUACCUGGGUGGCUCAGUUAGUUGAGCAUCCGACUUCAGCUCAGGUCAUGAUCUCACUACUUGGGAGUUCAAACCCUGCAUCAGACUCGCUGCUGUCAGUGCAGAGUCAGCUUUGGAUCCUGUGUCCCCCUGUCUCUCUGCCCCUCCCCCACUUGCGUUGUCUCUUUCAAAAAAUAAACAUUAAAAAAAAAAUCACUGUAGGGGCGCCUGGGUGGCUCAGUUGGUUAAGCAUCCGACUUUGGCUCAGGUCAUGAUCUCGCCAUUCAGAGUUUGAGCCCCGCGUCAGGCUCUCUGCUGACAGCUCAGAGCCCUGGAGCCUGCUUCCAAUUUUGUGUCUCCCUCUCUCUCUGCCCCUCCACUGCUCAUGCUUUGUCUCUCUCUGUCUCUCAAAACUAAAUAAACAUUAAAAAACAAAAAAAAAAAACCCACACACACUGUAAUAGGACACAAAGAAGGACACUAUGUGUCAUAAAGGGGACAGUCUAACAAGAAGAUACAACAAUUGUAAAUAUUUUUGUACCCAACAUGGGAGUAUCCAUAUAUAUAAAACAGCUAAUAACAAACAUGAAGCAACUAAUUGAUAAUGAUACAGUAAUACUAGGGGCUCUAUCAGUCCACUUACAUCAAUGGACAGAUCAUCUAAACAGAAAAUCAGCAAGGAAACAAGGCUUUAAUGACACACUGAAACAGAUUGAUUUAACAGAUGUAUUCAGAACAUUCCAUCCUAAAAGAGCAAAAUACACAUUCUUUUCAAGUGCACAUAGGACAUUCUCCAGAAUAGAUCACAUAUUAGCCCACAAAACGGGCCUCAGCAAAUACAAGAAGGUUGAUAUCAUACCAUGUACCUUUUCUGCCCACAACACUAUGAAACUAGAAGUCAACCAGAAGAAAAAAAUCUGGAAAGACCAUAGAUACAUGGAGGUUAAAUAACAUACUACUAAACAAGGAAUGGGUUAACCAGGAAAUCAGGAAAUGAAAAAGUAUGUGAAAACAAAUGAAAAUGAAAACACAGCGCUCCAAAACCUCUGCAAUGCAGCAAAAGCAGUUCUAAGAAGGAAGUUUAUAGCAAUAUAGGUCUACCUCAGGAAGCAAGAAAAAUCUCAAACAACCUAAACUUACACCUAAAGGAGCUAGAAGAACAAUAAACAAAACCUAAACCCAGCAGAAGGAAGGAGAUAAUAAAGAUUAGAGCAGAAAUAAAUUAUAUAGAAACUAAAAAAAAAUCAGUAGAACAGAUCAAUGAAACCAGGAGCUGGUUCUUUGAAAAAAACCAAUAAAAUUUAUAAACCUCUAGCCAGAUUUAUCAAGACAAAAAGAGAAAGAACACAAACAAAAU